AACAUGGUCUUUUGAUAAUAAUUUAAGAUUGAGUCUGCUCCAUGAGUAAUUAAAUAGCCGCAGUAAUUUGACUGUGCAAAGGUAGCAUAAUAAUUAGUUUUUUAAUUGAAAGCUGGAAUGAAUGAUUUGACAAGGAAAUAACUGUCUCUUUAUUAAAAUAAUUGAAUUUAACUUUUAAGUGAAAAGGCUUAAAUGAUUAUAAAAGACGAGAAGACCCUAUAGAGUUUUAUUUUUCUAAAGUAAUAGGUAUAAAUUUUAUUAUGAAAAAUUUAAUUGGGGUGAUUGAAAGAUUAAAUAAACUCUUUUAUUUUUAAUUAUUAAUAUAUAAAUAAAUAUUAUUUAAUUUAAAUAUUAAAUUAAAUUACCUUAGGGAUAACAGCGUAAAAUUUCUUUAAAGUUCACAUUAAAAGAAUAUUUUGCGACCUCGAUGUUGGAUUAAAAUUAAUUUUAGGUGAAGAAGCUUAAAUAUUAAGUCUGUUCGACUUUUAAAAUUUUACAUGAUCUGA
rnacentral:rRNA from 1 species